rnacentral:lncRNA from 1 species
UUAUCAGAUCAACCAUUAUUAUCAUCAAGAACGAGAUGAAAAUUCAACUGUCCUAACUAUCAAAAUAUAAAAUACUAUGGCACAACAGUGAUGAUGUAUCAAGAAAUGAAGAAGGUAAGAAAGUUCCAUGAAAAAGUGUCUUUUCCUAGCAUACAAAAACGUUUCCAGAUGGAACUAUGUUCUGCAAACUCGCCAAUGUGCUAGGUAGCUUACACUAUCAGGGUAAGCAAGGAUAUCAGGACAAUUCCACUGGAUAACCUGCUUGUACUAAGUUAAUUCCAUAUUGUCAUGAAGGUUUUUAAGGCUGUGUUAACUACGAAACAUCUUACUGCUGCCAAGUCGUGUUCAAGUUUCCUAUAGAAGCAGUCCAGUCAAAAGAUUUUAAAAUCGGAGAUCUGGGUGUUUUGAGCAACUCAGGAAGCCAACCUUGGCACUGUUCAUUUGUUCAAAUUAGGAGCCACAUAUGGCUAUGGCAAGGGCAACAAAGUCUUACCAGAUAAGCUUGGAGGAACAAGCGAUAAGCAAAGAUGGAAAGUGAUUCAGUGAAAUGUAAUAGAAGUAAU